rnacentral:rRNA from 1 species
GACGAACGCUGGCGGCGUGCCUAAUACAUGCAAGCAGAACGCUGAAGGAGGAGCUUGCUUCUCUGGAUGAGUUGCGAACGGGUGAGUAACGCGUAGGUAACCUGCCUGGUAGCGGGGGAUAACUAUUGGAAACGAUAGCUAAUACCGCAUAAUAGUAGAUGUUGCAUGACAUUUGCUUAAAAGGUGCAAUUGCAUCACUACCAGAUGGACCUGCGUUGUAUUAGCUAGUUGGUGGGGUAACGGCUCACCAAGGCGACGAUACAUAGCCGACCUGAGAGGGUGAUCGGCCACACUGGGACUGAGACACGGCCCAGACUCCUACGGGAGGCAGCAGUAGGGAAUCUUCGGCAAUGGACGGAAGUCUGACCGAGCAACGCCGCGUGAGUGAAGAAGGUUUUCGGAUCGUAAAGCUCUGUUGUAAGAGAAGAACGAGUGUGAGAGUGGAAAGUUCACACUGUGACGGUAUCUUACCAGAAAGGGACGGCUAACUACGUG